rnacentral:rRNA from 1 species
GAGUAAUGCCUAGGAAAUUGCCCUGAUGUGGGGGAUAACCAUUGGAAACGAUGGCUAAUACCGCAUGAUGCCUACGGGCCAAAGAGGGGGACCUUCGGGCCUCUCGCGUCAGGAUAUGCCUAGGUGGGAUUAGCUAGUUGGUGAGGUAAGGGCUCACCAAGGCGACGAUCCCUAGCUGGUCUGAGAGGAUGAUCAGCCACACUGGAACUGAGACACGGUCCAGACUCCUACGGGAGGCAGCAGUGGGGAAUAUUGCACAAUGGGCGCAAGCCUGAUGCAGCCAUGCCGCGUGUGUGAAGAAGGCCUUCGGGUUGUAAAG